rnacentral:tRNA from 1 species
GGUGUAGUUCAGUGGUAAAGCAUUUGACUGUUAAUCAAUUGGUCGUAGGUUCGAUCUCU